rnacentral:rRNA from 1 species
GAUGAACGCUGGCGGCGUGCCUAAUACAUGCAAGUCGAGCGAACAGACGAGGAGCUUGCUCCUCUGACGUUAGCGGCGGACGGGUGAGUAACACGUGUAUACCCUACCUAUCAGACUGGGAUAACUUCGGGACACCGGAGCUAAUACCGGAUAAUAUAUUGAACCGCGUGGUUCAAUAGUAAAAGACGGUUUUGCUGUCACUUAUAGAUGGAUCCGGGCCGCAUGAGCUGGUUGUUAAGGUAACGGCUUACCAAGGCAACCAUGCGUAGCCGAACUGCGUGGGGGAUCGCCGACACUGGAACUGAGACGCGGUCCAUAGGCCUACGGGAGGCAGCAGAAGGGAAUCGGCCGCAACGGGCGAAAGCAUGACGGAGCAACGCGGCGUGAGUGAUGAAGGUCCUCGGAGCGUAAAACUCUGUUAUUAGUGAAGAACAAAUGUGUAAGUAACUAUGCACUGCUUGACGGUACCGAAUCAGAAAGCCACGGCUAACUACGUG